rnacentral:rRNA from 1 species
GCUUGAUAUUGAAUGUUUGUGCUGCAUGUGCAGGAUAGGUAGGAGACUUUGAAGUCGGAACGCUAGUUUCGAUUGAGUCACCCUUGAGAUACUACCUCUGUUGUAUGAACGUUCUAACUCUGAUCAGUUAUCCUGAUCGAAGACAGUGUCUGGCAGGCAGUUUGACUGGGGCGGUCGCCUCCUAAAAGAUAACGGAGGCGCUCAAAGGUUUGCUCAGAAUGGUUGGAAAUCAUUCGUAGCGUGUAAAGGCAUAAGCAAGCUUGACUGUGAGACUGACAAGUCGAGCAGGUACGAAAGUAGGACUUAGUGAUCCGGUGGUUCCGUAUGGAAGGGCCAUCGCUCAACGGACAAAAGCUACCCCGGGGAUAACAGGCUCAUCUCCCCCAAGAGUCCACAUCGACGGGGAGGUUUGGCACCUCGAUGUCGGCUCAUCGCAUCCUGGGGCUGUAGUCGGUCCCAAGGGUUGGGCUGUUCGCCCAUUAAAGCGGUACGCGAGCUGGGUUCAGAACGUCGUGAGACAGUUCGGUCCCUAUCCGUCGUGGGCGCAGGAAAUUUGAGAGGAUCUGUCCUUAGUACGAGAGGACCGGGAUGGACAUACCUCUGGUGUACCAGUUGUUCUGCCAAGAGCACCGCUGGGUAGCUACGUAUGGAUUAGAUAAUCGCUGAAAGCAUCUAAGUGAGAAACUAACCUCGAGAUGAGAUUUCCCAUUCGUCAGAAGUAAGACCCCUGAGAGACGAUCAGGUAGAUAGGCUAGAAGUGGAAGUGUAGUGAUGCAUGGAGCGGACUAGUACUAAUAGGUCGAGGACUUAACCAAG